rnacentral:rRNA from 1 species
GUGGGGAAUAUUGGACAAUGGGCGAAAGCCUGAUCCAGCCAUGCCGCGUGUGUGAAGAAGGUCUUCGGAUUGUAAAGCACUUUAAGUUGGGAGGAAGGGCAGUAAGUUAAUACCUUGCUGUUUUGACGUUACCGACAGAAUAAGCACCGGCUAACUUCGUGUCAGCAGCCGCGGUAAUACGAAGGGUGCAAGCGUUAAUCGGAAUUACUGGGCGUAAAGCGCGCGUAGGUGGUUUUGUAAGUUGGAGGUGAAAUCCCCGGGCUCAACCUGGGAACUGCCUCCAAAACUGCAUGACUAGAGUACGGUAGAGGGUAGUGGAAUUUCCUGUGUAGCGGUGAAAUGCGUAGAUAUAGGAAGGAACACCAGUGGCGAAGGCGACUACCUGGACUGAUACUGACACUGAGGUGCGAAAGCGUGGGGAGCAAACAGGAUUAGAUACCCUAGUAGUCC